UGGUUUUACAAUGUCAUGUCCUGCAAUAUCGCGUCAUUUAAAUGCUUUAGCACAAUUCCAUAAAUUAUCGUGUCUAAGCAGAAGCAUGUUGGUUGUAAUCUGAGUGCAAUAUAGGCAGAGUCGCUCGGUCAAUCAAUGAGUAAAAUGAACGGCUCAACUGAGAAAACGAAUCAUUAAACGAAUCGUUCGCGAAUUACACACUACUAGUUUGUCCCAGUACAGGAUCCGUAUACGACUUUUCCCUUCACGUUGUUAUUCUUUGCUGUCGUGUGUUUUUUUUACAUAACUUUAAGCGUUCUAUGAAAUAUGGCUUUUCAGUGUCAGAGGGACUGCUACAUGCAAGAAUUUAUCACUACAGUGGUAUCAUGUUCUCCCGCUGAACUAAAACGCGAGAACGGCGGGAAGAAGGAGAAAAUGAAAGGCUUCAACGUCAUCCUCAAAGACACGAUUCUCUUUCCUGAGGGUGGAGGCCAGCCAGAUGACCGCGGGACGAUCGGGCCCGUGCCUGUCCUGCGGGUGACCAGGCAAGGUUCAGAGGCGGUGCACUUUGUGGAGUCGGCGCUGGAGGUGGGAUCGGAAGCACGGCUGGAAGUGGACUGGGAGCGCAGAUUUGACCACAUGCAGCAGCACUCUGGGCAACACUUAGUUACUGCCUUGGCAGACAGUAUGUUUGGAUACAAGACCACCUCCUGGGAUUUGGGCCGCCAGCGCAGCGUCAUCGAGCUGGACACGGCUGCGGUGAAGCCCGGCGAGAUGGAGGCCCUGGAGGACGCGGUGAACCAGAAGAUCCGCGAACACGUCCCUGUCACCGUGCAGCUGCUGUCCCUGGACGAUCCCGCCGUGGAAAAGGUGAGGAGCCGCGGCCUGCCGGACGACCAUGCAGGACCCGUCCGGAUCAUCGACAUCGAGGGCGUCGACGCCAACAUGUGCUGCGGGACCCAUGUGUCCAACCUCAGCCACCUACAGGUUCUAAAGAUCCUUGGGACUGAAAAAGGAAAGAAAAACAAAACCAACCUGAUUUUCCUUGCGGGAAACCGGGUUCUGAAGUAUGCGGAGAAAAGCUACAGCACGGAGCGAUCGCUGACAUCCUUACUCAAGACUGGAGCAGAUGAUCACGUCGAAGCCGUAGACAAGCUGCAGAAGUCUGUCAAGGUGCUGCAGAAGAACAAUCUCAACCUUUUACGAGACAUGGCUGUGCUAAUUGCGGAGAAUUUCAAGAACAACCCCAAUCGGGGCGACUUGUUCUGUUUACACAGGAAGGACAGUGACAAUGAGUUCAUGAACAUUAUAGCCAAUGAGAUAGGCACUGAGGACACAGUGCUAUUCCUGACUGUUGGAGAUGAGAAGGGGGCGGGGCUGUUCCUGCUGGCAGGGCCAGUGGGUAUUGUGGAUGAGCUGGGACCCAGAUGACAUGCACUGUACUCCAGGAAAGUUGUGCAUCCUCUCCAGCUGAGUCAGGACAUUCAGAUGACCCCAAAAUACUGUGCUCUGGGUUGGAGGAGGGUGCACUGGAGGACAGUGAUGUUGUCAUCACUGGUGUCCAACGGGGGAAGACCUGUGCAGCUUUGCUGAACAGACGGGUGGAGGACUUUGGGGGCCGUAUUUCUCGGCCAGCACACACGGUUGGAUGACAAGGUCAUCGACCACGCCCAGGCUCUUAUGAAGAUGCUGCAUCCAUAUAUAGGAGGGCUCCAUGCAACCACCCUCCCUGCCGUCCACCGUACCUACACCAGCUCAGGGGUUUGUGGAGAUUCUUAAUGUCUCUGCAAAUCGCUGGAUUACGGGAAGAGUGUCCGGCUGCAGUGGCCUGAUGUCCAACAGCAGGCGGGUGGCUCAGACUGUGGACUGUUUGCUAUUGCAACAGUCUCACUCUCUGCAGAGGUGAGGAUCCCUCCGUGCUCCAGAACCAUCAGCCAGCUAUGCAGACUCACAUCUUUGCCUCUUUUCCGGCUGGAAUUCUGAUACCCUUCCCCAGUACUGCAAGGUGCUCCAAAGCCAAGGCAGUUCACGCUAUUGAGGUGAACAUACACUGCCUCUGCAGACGGACCAACCAAAUUGGAAAAGGAUCCUCUGGUCUUCUGCAGGACAUAUGCCUUUUCCUGCCUCAACUUAAAAAACCCAGAUGUAUAUAUAUGUCUGUCAUGCACUGUCAUCUUCCAUGCAUGUUAAUUUUCAUAGUGUUGAGUUCUGUUUUCAUUACAAAUUAAAGUUGUAUUAAAUGUAAAUGGUAAGUAUUAUGACAUCUUUAUAAUGUUUACAUGUGAAUGUAGUUUAUAAUAAAAAUGUCUGAAUUUUAUAUAGUAUAGUAUCAGUAAUAGAAAUGUAAUGUGUAAUGUGUGCAACAUUUCAGUAUUGCAUGUGUGAUUUUAUAAUUUUAUUAUUUAUUAUUAAGAAAAUAUGUUUAAUUUUAUGACAAAUGUGUAAACAAUUUAUGUGUAGCUUUCAAUUGGAAUUAAUUGGAAUUAAUUGGAAAUAGGCCCAUUUGGUUCCUUACUGGCCCUUCGUACCUUCCUCUUAGCAUUCACCAACAAACUAAAUGCCCAAAUCCAAAGUAAAUUUAUUAUAUUAGAUUUUAUAACCGUUAUAUGCAUAGUGGUAAGUAUAAAGUGCUUUUGAAUUUGGCAUUGUUUCCUUAUUAAUGUUGCAGUUCAAGUUGUUGGUGGUACAAGCAAGCCAAAAGUUACAGUAUCAUACUUGCAAAAGUGUCAGCUUGAUCUCCAUGAAUGAAUGAACUUUGGCAGUACCUGUGUUUGACUGCCCUGAUUGUACCUCUUUGAUGCUCCUGAAAGUAGCUGUCUCUGAUUCCCCUUGUAGACUCUGGAAGGAAUUGUGUGCAUGCUUGAUUGAUUUAAGUUGCGAGAGACAGAGUGUGUGUGUGUGUGAAUGUGUGUGCAUGUGUGUGCGCGCGCGUAUACACACUGUGUUUAAUUUAUUAAAUGUGUAAUUUACUGUAUAUUUAGUAAAACUGUAACAGCAUUCAAGGGGACUCACUUCUCUCGGGUUGAUUUGGACUGUUUCAUGACAUCAAGUGACAUCAUGAGUUAUAUCACAGUUAGCCUAGGAUCCUACAUAAGCAGGUUUUAUGCACCCUUUAUAAUGUUUAGCUGUUAGCCAGGUGAUAUUGUUGGUUAUGUCACAUUUGGCAUAAUGUUGUAAAAGAUGUUUUGCCACCCUUUAUGAAGCACAACAUUUGUGUAUGCAUGAAGCCAUUAUGUCAAGUUUAUGAAAGCAUUAUAUAUACUACGUAAAGCUUUUAUUUUAACUUCCUUUAAAGUGUGAGUCACCACUUUUAAGGAAAGUUGUGCUGGUUGCCAAUAAAAUUAGGAAACUGUAGCUGAACUGCACCACUUCUCAGAUUAUCCUGUAAGAUCUGGUCAUGUUGAAGUGAUGAGGAAAUGAUUGAAACAAAUGAUUACAAAGAAGAAAAAGAUGAAAUUGAAGCAGAAUAUUUCAGCAGCAAACUAACAUUCAGAAUAACAAAAACUUUAAUGACACAGUUUAAUACACUUUGAAAAGUCUUCAAAAAUGCAUGGAAUAUAAUUUUUAGUACUUUAUCAGUUUGGUAUUUAUGAGUAUUAAUGUAACAUUUACACACACUCUUAGCUUAUGGACUUGCUUCUGUGAUACAGCCAGAUUGAGAUUAAGGUAACACAGGAACCACAUGAGCCUAAAUUCAAUAAACAUUAGUCCUUAAAUUUGACUAUCAAUUGCAGCAAGGAUUAUAAAGCAGGGAUAUUACUUGUAAAUCAGAGUUGAGGAUAAAUGUUUAUUGAAUUUAAGUCAUAGAGUCACAUACCACUUGUUUACUUGUGGGUACAUGUGGCUUAUGUCUUAAGGACACAGCCUCUGUUUGGAGAGCAUUUAUGAGAUAGUGCUCUCAGUACCUACUUACUCACUUUCUAUUAGCUCAUACUUUCACACAAUGGGCCUCAUUUAUCAAGCAACAUACGAACAAAAUUUCUCGUAAUUCCUUUGUACCAA